rnacentral:rRNA from 1 species
GAUGAACGCUGGCGGCGUGCCUAAUACAUGCAAGUCGAGCGAACAGAAGAGGAGCUUGCUCCUCUGACGUUAGCGGCGGACGGGUGAGUAACACGUGGAUAACCUACCUAUAAGACUGGGAUAACUUCGGGAAACCGGAGCUAAUACCGGAUAAUAUAUUGAACCGCAUGGUUCAAUAGUGAAAGACGGUUUUGCUGUCACUUAUAGAUGGAUCCGCGCCGCAUUAGCUAGUUGGUAAGGUAACGGCUUACCAAGGCGACGAUGCGUAGCCGACCUGAGAGGGUGAUCGGCCACACUGGAACUGAGACACGGUCCAGACUCCUACGGGAGGCAGCAGUAGGGAAUCUUCCGCAAUGGGCGAAAGCUUGACGGAGCAACGCCGCGUGAGUGAUGAAGGUCUUCGGAUCGUAAAACUCUGUUAUUAGGGAAGAACAAAUGUGUAAGUAACUAUGCACGUCUUGACGGUACCUAAUCAGAAAGCCACGGCUAACUACGUG